CUCCGCGCAGCUUCUCUUCUCCAGGCUCAACAGCCCCAAUGUUCUCAGCCUGUCUCCAUACAGGAGGUGCCAGGCACAGGCCAGGCCAAGCACCGGCAUUAGGAUCCCGCCAGGAUCCAGCUGAUACGGUGCUGGAAGAGCAUCAGGACUCGGAGCUGUUGCUUGAAGAAGGGAGAGAAGAGACGAGGCCGAAGCAGUAGCACUUGCCCAGUAAACACCCAACCCUGCAGCGACCCCACGCACUAUUUCCUAUUUAUUUCCAGUUCCAGAGCACCAAAACCAAUAUAGUGGAGCCUCAGCGCUCCCCCGCUCUUUGAGCUUUAAGAGCGGCCAAAUCUGGGAUGAAGGCACUCCAGAACACCCUGAAAGUUACUUUUGUUGCCAGCUUCUCCCUAAUGAGACCUAUGUCCUUGGUCUGAGGACGUUUGACCCUCGGGGACAGCUUCCCCCUACCCUGCUCCUGCCCCUCGCUGGCCGCGGCUGCCCUGCUCCUUGUAAAGAUAAGCGGAGAAUAAACACGCUACUGCCGA